rnacentral:rRNA from 1 species
GACGAACCGUGCGAACGUUGUUCGGAUUCACUGGGCUUAAAGGGCGCGUAGGCGGGCGCGCAAGUCAGGGGUGAAAUCCUCCAGCUUAACUGGAGAACAGCCUCUGAUACUGCGGGUCUGGAGGAAGGUAGGGGCAUGUGGACCUAAUGGUGGAGCGGUGAAAUGCGUAGAUAUCAUUAGGAACGCCGGUGGCGAAAGCGACGUGCUGGACCUUUUCUGACGCUGAUGCGCGAAAGCCAGGGGAGCAAACGGG